rnacentral:rRNA from 1 species
CUUCCUGGUGGCGAGCGGCGGACGGGUGAGUAAUGCAUAGGAAUCUGCCCGAUAGUGGGGGAUAACCUGGGGAAACCCAGGCUAAUACCGCAUACGUCCUACGGGAGAAAGCAGGGGCUCUUCGGACCUUGCGCUAUCGGAUGAGCCUAUGUCGGAUUAGCUAGUUGGUGAGGUAAUGGCUCACCAAGGCGACGAUCCGUAGCUGGUCUGAGAGGAUGAUCAGCCACAUCGGGACUGAGACACGGCCCGAACUCCUACGGGAGGCAGCAGUGGGGAAUAUUGGACAAUGGGCGCAAGCCUGAUCCAGCCAUGCCGCGUGUGUGAAGAAGGCCUUCGGGUUGUAAAGCACUUUCAGUGAGGAAGAACGCCUUGGGCCUAAUACGCCCAAGGGAAGACAUCACUCACAGAAGAAGCACCGGCUAACUCCGUGCCAGCAGCCGCGGUAAUACGGAGGGUGCGAGCGUUAAUCGGAAUUACUGGGCGUAAAGCGCGCGUAGGUGGCUUGAUAAGCCGGUUGUGAAAGCCCCGGGCUCAACCUGGGAACGGCAUCCGGAACUGUCAGGCUAGAGUGCAGGAGAGGAAGGUAGAAUUCCCGGUGU